UAACAAGGUUUCCGUAGGUGAACCUGCGGAGGGAUCAUUACAAGUGACCCCGGUCUAACCACCGGGAUGUUCAUAACCCUUUGUUGUCCGACUCUGUUGCCUCCGGGGCGACCCUGCCUUCGGGCGGGGGCUCCGGGUGGACACUUCAAACUCUUGCGUAACUUUGCAGUCUGAGUAAACUUAAUUAAUAAAUUAAAACUUUUAACAACGGAUCUCUUGGU
rnacentral:misc_RNA from 1 species